rnacentral:siRNA from 1 species
UGCUAAUUUAGAGUAUAAGGUUGG